rnacentral:rRNA from 1 species
AUUGAACGCUGGCGGCAGGCUUAACACAUGCAAGUCGAGCGAGCGGCGGACGGGUGAGUAAUGUCUGGGAAACUGCCUGAUGGAGGGGGAUAACUACUGGAAACGGUAGCUAAUACCGCAUACCAUCAGAUGUGUCCAGAUGGGAUUAGCUAGUCGGUGGGGUAAUGGCUCACCUAGGCGACGUUCCCUAGCUGGUCUGAGAGUAUGACCAGCCACACUGGAACUGAGACACGGUCCAGACUCCUACGGGAGGCAGCAGUGGGGAAUAUUGCACAAUGGGCGCAAGCCUGAUGCAGCCAUGCAGCGUGUGUGAAGAAGGCAUGCGGGUUGUAAAGCACUUUCAGCGAGGAGGCGUUACUCAAAGAAGAAGCACUGGCGAACGCCGUGCCAACCGCCGCGGUAAUAC